AGAAUCAACGCUGGCGGCGUGCCUAACACAUGCAAGUCGAACGAGAAAGUGGAGCAAUCCAUGAGUAAAGUGGCGCACGGGUGAGUAACACGUGACUAACCUACCCUUGAGUGGGGGAUAACCUAGGGAAACCUGGGCUAAUACCGCAUAAUACCGAGAGGUCAAAGGAGCAAUUCGCUUAAGGAGGGGGUCGCGGCCGAUUAGUUAGUUGGCGGGGUAAUGGCCCACCAAGACUAUGAUCGGUAUCCGGCCUGAGAGGGCGCACGGACACACUGGAACUGAAACACGGUCCAGACUCCUACGGGAGGCAGCAGUGGGGAAUUUUGCGCAAUGGGGGAAACCCUGACGCAGCAACGCCGCGUGGAGGAUGAAGUCCCUUGGGACGUAAACUCCUUUCGAUCGGGACGAUUAUGACGGUACCGAGAGAAGAAGCCCGGCUAACUUCGCGCCAGCAGCCGC
rnacentral:rRNA from 1 species